UGCGACCGGAACGUAUUUAUUAGAUAUUAGACCAAUCGCAGCAAUGUGAUUGAGAUGAAUCAAAGUAACUGAUCGAAUCGAAGCUUGCUUCGAUAAAUCAUCUAAGUUUCUGCCCUAUCAGCUCUCGAUGGUAGUGUAUUGGACUACCAUGGCAGUCACGGGUAACGGAGAAUUAGGGUUCGAUUCCGGAGAAGGAGCCUGAGAAACGGCUACUACAACUACGGUUCGGCAGCAGGGAAGAAAAUUGGCCAAUCCUAAUUCAGGGAGCCAGUGACAAGAAAUAGCAAGCUGGGAAACUUAGUUUCUACGGCAUUGAAAUGAGAAAAGUGUUAAUCUCUUAGCGAGGAACAAUUGGAGGGCAAGUCAUGGUGCCAGCAGCCGCGGUAAUUCCAGCUCCAAUAGCGUAUAUUAAAGUUGUUGCAGUUAAAAAGCUCGUAGUUGAACUUCUGUUCAGGUUCAUUUCGACUCGUCGUGUGAAACUGGACAUACGUUUGCAAACUAAAAUCGGCCUUCACUGGUUCGACUUAGGGAGUAAACAUUUUACUGUGAAAAAAUUAGAGUGUUCCAGGCAGGUUUUAGCCCGAAUACAUUAGCAUGGAAUAAUGGAAUAGGACUAAGUCCAUUUUAUUGGUUCUUGGAUUUGGUAAUGAUUAAUAGGGACAGUUGGGGGCAUUAGUAUUUAAUAGUCAGAGGUGAAAUUCUUGGAUUUAUUAAGGACUAACUAAUGCGAAAGCAUUUGCCAAAGAUGUUUUCAUUAAUCAAGAACGAAAGUUAGGGGAUCAAAGACGAUCAGAUACCGUCGUAGUCUUAACUAUAAACUAUACCGACUCGGGAUCGGCUGGAAUAAAUGUCCAGUCGGCACCGUAUGAGAAAUCAAAGUCUUUGGGUUCUGGGGGAAGUAUGGUACGCAAGUCUGAAACUUAAAGGAAUUGACGGAACAGCACACCAGAAGUGGAACCUGCGGCUUAAUUUGACUCAACACGGGGAAACUCACGAGCGCAAGACAGAGAAGGGAUUGACAGAUUGAGAGCUCUUUCUUGAUUCUUUGGGUGGUGGUGCAUGGCCGUUCUUAGUUGGUGGAGUGAUUUGUCUGGUUAAUUCCGUUAACGAACGAGACCUUAACCUGCUAACUAGUCUGCUUGUGAACAACAGGCUGUACUUCUUAGAGGGACUAUUGUGCAAGAAGCCAAUGGAAGUUUAAGGCAAUAACAGGUCUGUGAUGCCCCUAGACGUGCUCGGCCGCACGCGCGUUACAAUGACUGGCGCAGAAAGUAUUUCCUGUCCUGGGAAGGUACGGGUAAUCUUAUUAAUACCAGUCGUGUUAGGGAUAGUUCUUUGGAAUUGUGGAUCUUGAACGAGGAAUUUCUAGUAAGUGCAAGUCAUCA
rnacentral:rRNA from 1 species